rnacentral:rRNA from 1 species
GAACUUUGAAGAGAGAGUUCAAAGGACGUGAAACCGCUUGGAAGUAAACUGAUGGCGCUGCGAUAAAGUUGCUGGAAUUCAGGUUGAGUGACGAGUUCUAAGAUCCUAUAAAUCUUUGUGGGCCUGAGCUCUGAAUUCGGCUGCAUUUUCCAGCAACCUACGUGGUACCUUGUUUUGGUCUGGAGCGGCAGGUUAUGUGAAGCCCCGCUUCGGCGGUGGUACUUGCUUUCCUGUCCGUUCCUUCGCCGGGACUUGCGAACGCUGCUGGCUAGUCGCGAAUUUUGCUUGCCUCAUGGAGCAGCCGCAAGGCUGUGAAGUUUGGUUGGCAUUUUUUUGCGAAAGCAGCAGUACCGCGAUUAUAGCAGUUACCCAUCAGACCCGUCUUGAAACACGGACCAAGGAGUCUAGCAUGUGCGCGAGUCUUCGGGUGGAAAACCCAGAGGCGCAAUGAAAGUAAAUGCUGCUGGGAUCCCGCAUUUGUGGGCGCACCAGUCUACCGUUAUUCUGGCAUUGUCCAAUUAGCGGAUAGUGAGCGYACACGCUAGGACCCGAAAGAUGGUGAACUAUGCCUGAACUGGACGAAGCCAGAGGAAACUCUGGUGGAGGUCCGCAGCGGUUCUGACGUGCAAAUCG